GAAGAAAAAAACCUCCGAACGAUAUUAUAAUUCAGACUUUACAAGCCAAGAUUCACUAAUCGCUUAUUGACCCAAUACUUGAUCAACGGAACA
rnacentral:rRNA from 1 species